AUGAAUCACUUGGAUCCGACACGUGUAUUAGCCCCUCUUUUGAAGGCGACGUUACCCUCAACCCAGUAGUUUGAGUCAGCAAGGAUACAAUCCUAAAGGGUCGGAUUAUUGAAAGAUAAUGAAUUAAGUUAUUAAUGCAAAUUAUGGUAGGCCCCGCUUUUGGCGGCGACGUUACCCUCGGCUAAGUAGUCUGAGUCAGCAGGGAUACAUUCCUAAAUAGCCGGGUUAUAGUAUUAAUAGUAGUUAACUUAUGAGGGGGUCAAAGAGUUUGGAUCCCCGCCAUCCAAUACCUAUGGGCAUUGAAGGAGAUCCUACUAAAUUUGACCCAGGUCCUAAGCAGGACCUCUAAACGCUGAACAAGGGCAAGACCCUUACCAAACCGUUCCCUUAACCCCCGACCAGGUAGCCAACAUACCUCCAUAUAGACCGUGGAGAUAUGAAUGGUGAAAAUCUUUUAUUUUAUAUAGACAGUAAAAUAACGCCAAGACACCACGGACAAACGAUAAGGAAAGAUCACCUUCAACAUAAGUAACUAGUUAUUAAAGUCAUUAAUAC
rnacentral:lncRNA from 1 species